GUCAAGCUGACGAGUCCCAAAUAGGACGAAGCGCGCGUCCUGUAU
rnacentral:hammerhead_ribozyme from 1 species